rnacentral:rRNA from 1 species
AGUGAACGCUGGCGGUAGGCCUAACACAUGCAAGUCGAACGGCAGCACAGUAAGAGCUUGCUCUUACGGGUGGCGAGUGGCGGACGGGUGAGGAAUACAUCGGAAUCUACUUUUUCGUGGGGGGUAACGUAGGGAAACUUACGCUAAUACCGCAUACGACCUACGGGUGAAAGCAGGGGAUCUUCGGACCUUGCGCGAUUGAAUGAGCCGAUGUCGGAUUAGCUAGUUGGCGGGGUAAAGGCCCACCAAGGCGACGAUCCGUAGCUGGUCUGAGAGGAUGAUCAGCCACACUGGAACUGAGACACGGUCCAGACUCCUACGGGAGGCAGCAGUGGGGAAUAUUGGACAAUGGGCGCAAGCCUGAUCCAGCCAUACCGCGUGGGUGAAGAAGGCCUUCGGGUUGUAAAGCCCUUUUGUUGGGAAAGAAAAGCAGCAGGUUAAUACCCCGCUGUUCUGACGGUACCCAAAGAAUAAGCACCAGCUAACUUCGUG